rnacentral:rRNA from 1 species
UACGUAGGGGGCAAGCGUUGUCCGGAUUUAUUGGGCGUAAAGAGCGUGUAGGCGGCUAGGUAGGUCCGUUGUGAAAACUCGAGGCUCAACCUCGAGACGCCGAUGGAAACCAUCUAGCUAGAGUCCGGAAGAGGAGAGUGGAAUUCCUGGUGUAGCGGUGAAAUGCGCAGAUAUCAGGAAGAACACCCGUGGCUAAGGCGGCUCUCUGGGACGUGACUGACGCUGAGACGCGAAAGCGUGGGGAGCGAACAGG